rnacentral:snRNA from 1 species
AUGCUCUCUAUGAGCUAAGAUCAAGCGUAGUACCUGUUCUUAUCAGUUUAAUAUCUGAUAUGUUCUUUAUUUAAAGAAUGGAGCAACACACAGAGAAGCUGUACGCGCACCCGAAUGACAGCUGCAGCCCUGGAGGAGAUGCACAAGCCAGACAGGGGAACAGCGUGCAGCACACAGGAGCAUCACGUGUCCACGCACGCACACAAC